rnacentral:rRNA from 1 species
GCAGGCUUGAGUCUUGUAGAGGGGGGUAGAAUUCCAGGUGUAGCGGUGAAAUGCGUAGAGAUCUGGAGGAAUACCGGUGGCGAAGGCGGCCCCCUGGACAAAGACUGACGCUCAGGUGCGAAAGCGUGGGGAGCAAACAGGAUUAGAUACCCUGGUAGUCCACGCCGUAAACGAUGUCUACUUGGAGGUUGUGCCCUUGAGGCGUGGCUUCCGGAGCUAACGCGUUAAGUAGACCGCCUGGGGAGUACGGCCGCAAGGUUAAAACUCAAAUGAAUUGACGGGGGCCCGCACAAGCGGUGGAGCAUGUGGUUUAAUUCGAUGCAACGCGAAGAACCUUACCUGGUCUUGACAUCCACAGAAG